AUUGAACGCUGGCUGCAGGCCUAACACAUGCAAGUCGAACGAGUGGCGGACGGGUGAGUAAUGUCUGGGAAACUGCCUGAUGGAGGGGGAUAACUACUGGAAACGGUAUCUAAUACCGCAUACCAUCGGAUGUUCCCAGAUGGGAUUAGCGAGUAGGUGGGGUAUAGGCCCACCUAGGCGACGAUCCCUAGCUGGUCUGAGAGGAUGACCAGACACACUGGAACUGAGACACGGUCCAGACUCCUACGGGAGGCAGCAGUGGGGAAUAUAGCACAAUGGGCGCAAGCCUGAUGCAGCCAUGCCGCGUGUAUGAAGAAGGCCUGCGGGUUGUAAAGUACUUUCAGCGGGGAGGCGUGACCCGCAGAAGAAGCACAGGCUAACUCCGUGCCAGCAGCCGCGGUAAUAC
rnacentral:rRNA from 1 species